ensembl:lncRNA
AGCAGCUUCCCAGCUCCCAAAGCUCUGUGCGUUCUUUUAGCGUGCCAUCCCACGUGGCAGUCCAGCAGAGUGUGUUCCUUUCCCGGCCUGGGAACACUUCUUGUGCUGCAACCACCGUGAGGUAGGGCUGGCACCUCAGAGCUGCUUUGCUGUUUGUUGUGCCAGUUUUAGGAUUCGUUAUCCCAAAUUCCAGGUGAUGAUGUCUGCAGGCCUCGAUGUUUAAGGGCCUGGCAGCCUCACAGUGCUGCCUGGGGUGGAAGAUGCCAGGUGGAGACAGGCGAGGAGGAGAUGACAGGAGGACAACUGGUUGGUCACAGCCUUCCUGAACAUGGGACUGACAGCAGAGAUGCUACCCAGGUGUUCAGGCCUGCGGAGGACAGCAGGGUCCCAGUGGGAAGGGAUCGUCUCUUGAACAUUUGCUCUGUGUUCUUCCUUGGCAUCAGUCCUGGCCAUGAGUUUGUGUGAGAAACGGCCAUAAGUGCGUUCACCCUUCUGGCUGGCUCCGUGGCAAUGCAGUCACCAGCUCCCCGCCGACCUCGCAGCCAUGCAGCCUCUCAGAUAAGGAAACCCAUGCUUCUGCAGAGCUGGUUGUACUAGGGAAGCUGUAGCCUUUCCCUCUGCCUGCUCCCACAGUGAGUACCACGUGCUUUUCCCUUGGCUGUGCCCUCACCAUCGCAACCAGAACCUCAGAGCCCUCAGUGCCACAUAGCUGUGUCGGAGGUGUGCUGUCUCAUGGAAAACAUUUAGGAUCAGAGCUUUCAAAUUAAAGAUAGAAAAAGGUCGGUAGCUUUCCAAGUAAUUAAUACCCUGUAGUUACUUAAAACUGUCUUUAGAAAUGUGCCAUUCGGAACUUUCUAGGGCUGAGAACGUAUCUGGGAAUACAGUUAUGUCUUCAGCUGCAGCCUUUUCACCCUGCUUUUGUGAUUGCUCUUUUUCUGUUAGGAUCUUGUUUUGCCAGGGGGAAAAAAAAAUACAAAACGGAACGCUGCCAAGAAAUUUUGUUUUCAUACCUUGGUCCUCCCAGGCUGCCAGUUUGGCCUUCCUGUGCUGACACGUAUUGCAUUACCGGUGCUGCAGCACCAGCAGCGUUCCUGACACCUGGUUUUGGCUUCCCAUGUUUCUGGGUGAGCCGUGGAUGUGCUCAGGGAAGCCGGUCGGCCUGCAGGGCUGUGAGGCUGGAAUCAUGUCUCAGAGUUCUCGUGUGAUUGUCCACCUCGGGGAUGGGUUUUAAUGGCUGAAGCAAGCCAUGCUGAUACAGUUUUCUGCUGUUCCUUCGUAUUUCCAUCGCAGUGAGUUGAUUCCCUGGCAGACCUGCCUGGAGCUGGGGGUCAGAGCUGAGGCACGGUGCUGCCAUCCAUGUCCCUCUGUUUUUUAAUGAGCUCUGUCAGAAUUCGUUACUUAGCCAUUAAGUGGUGUCAGCGCAGAGUUCAUGCAUGAGCUAAGUUGAAAAUCUGCUAGGUGUGAAUUAGUGAUGAGAGAAAAGCAGGUCAAGGAACAUGUUGUUUCAGAGCACGCUGAGCUUCAAGCUUAGCAGAGGCGAUACUGGUGCAUCCAAGGUCUUGAGCAGGCAGAAAUAAGAACAUAGGCAGGAGAUGAGAGCAGGUGAUAAGACGUGGUAGCCCAUCCAUCGGUCCGUUGUGGUUCUGCAUGUCACCAACGAGCAGCGUGCUCUGAAGAUGCUCUGGGCCAGUCCCCAAGCCUUUGCAGACAUCAGAGGGCUCUGCUUGCAUCAGUGAGAUGGUCAUGGGUUCAGGUGCUGCUGCGAGAGACAUGUGGAUCCCCAGCAAUCCUGCACAGUGUCAGGAUGGGUUGCCCUGCAAAGGGAGGCAGGGUUUUACCUCAAGUACUGGAAAAAGACACUUCCUCCGCCUGUGAUCACUUGGCAUAGCACCACCUGGAAAUGAGGUGUGAUGGAAAAAAUAAGCCACGAAGAACAAAGCCUACAGCAAAGGCAGGAAUGUGAAUUUGCAGGCUCAGUGAAACUGCUCAGGUCUCCCCGCUGAGGCUGACUAUGUGUUCACCCUCCAGACUGCUUGGGAACGAAGGCAAAGAGAAGAACAUUGUCCCGCAAAGCCACGUGCCUCGCUUGCAGUCUGGGAGCUGAGGCACAGCUUCUGACUUUGCUCUGCAGCCCCUGUGUCCCAACCACUACCCAGGACACUGAUCAACCUGAAGCUGCUGGUUUUCUUGUGAUGGGCUCCUGUAUGCGUUCCAAAUACUGUUGAGGCUGCUCUGUGGGUAUUUUUAGUGUGCAUCAGGUGCCAACGAGGAAAACAAAAGCCUCUUCUUCAUGAGCCCACGUCUGCAGUUAUUUCCAGUGCCCGUGUCCUCGUGUGCAUCCUGCAGCCCUUGGGGCUCCGACAGCAGGCACUGAGAAAAACCAAGCUUGGGAAAAAUCUAAAUACUUCCCAAGGAAGAACUUCAGGAAAUGCCCAUCAAACAGCUGAGCAGGGGAUUCCUGAGCAGGUUUCCUGUGCUUCUUUGAAAUGCUGAUAAAAAGCUUCGUGAGAUACCUGCACAGAGGAAUUUCCCAAACAGGGCACUGAAAGCUUCACACCACAAUGUAUGCGUGAUACUGGAGCUCCCACACGUGCUGGGUGUUUGGAUAGCGUUCUUAGACCUGCUGAAACCUGCGUAAUGUAGUAAUUAUGGGCUGCUAGCUGUUGAAAGGACUCGUGAAGCUACUCCAAGGGGCAGCUGUCACCUGGGUCCUUCGGAUCCCAGCUCAUGUUUGCCUCUGCACGUCCUCAGCAUGCAAACAGGGCUGAGGGAAAGCACCCUGCCUCCUCCUGUCCCUGGGUGCAGGAAUGGCAAUGGCCGGCAGCACUGACAUCUGCCUCCUGGUGUGACCCCAAGGAUGUGACUUUGGGACAGAAACAACAUGCAGCCAGGCACCCCUGAAAUGAAGCAGGGUUAUGGGAUCCAGCUCUGGCAUUAGUGUGCAGUCCUGAACAUCUGCACCAACAUUUGUGUGCCCAGCCAUCAUUGCAGCACCUGUAGCCAUCUGAGCUGGCGCUGGCUGCAGCAUGAAGCCAGGUGAAGGGGUGGGUUCUUUGGGACUGGCAAAAUAUCCCAUGUGCCUUUCAGUGUUUUCCUCUUUUUUUUUUUUUUUUUAAUUAUGCUUGGAGCCUCUUCUGAACAGUAAAACCUAAAAAAUAUUUGGGAAAAUAUUAAUGUGUCACUUUUGGAUCUGACAGUGUUUGUUUGUUUGCUUGUUUUUGAGGGUAGCAAUUUACAAAGUCCUGCUUUUGGGUCCUUCCUUCCCCACAUCUCUGCUGGGAACUGCUGGUGCCCCCAUCCCACCACGGGAGCCCUGGGCUGGGAACACAGCAGUGCCUGCUGCUGGGGAGGUAACACUGCGAACCAGCCUGCGCAUCUUGCAGCCUCUACAAUAUUGCCAAACCUUGUAACACAGAACCAGAUCCCUUUCCAAACCAGCCCCUUGCAGCCCUUCCUUCCUCUCCAAACUGCACCAAUCUCCAGCCAGAGCGAGCCUUGGGUCUGCCCUGCUUCACCCACCUCGUCGCUUCUGUCCCUGCCUCGCAUCUCCCCGCAGCGGUGUUCGGACGCCUCGCCUCUCUCCCGCUGGCUGAGAGCAGCGUGGAUUUCCUUCCAGCGUGACGGUUGGGGUCACUCUUUCACAACGAGCGCUUUCCUCCCGGUACGAUCAGCUCAGCGUCGCGUCCCGCUGACGCCCAACCAGGAUUUCAAGCUUUUGGGACUGCCUUCCCUGGAAAAAAUUAGCGACAUGUUUGAUUUUAAAUAGCGGAAGCGUGCGGGAAUAAGCUUUUCUGUGUGGGUUCGGAAGUUUGCUAAAACACUCAAUGAGCU